rnacentral:rRNA from 1 species
UACGUAGGGUGCGAGCGUUGUCCGGAAUUAUUGGGCGUAAAGGGCUCGUAGGCGGUUUGUCACGUCGGGAGUGAAAACUCCGGGGCUUAACCCCGAGCCUGCUUCCGAUACGGGCAGACUAGAGGUAUGCAGGGGAGAACGGAAUUCCUGGUGUAGCGGUGAAAUGCGCAGAUAUCAGGAGGAACACCGGUGGCGAAGGCAGCUCGCUGGGACGUUACUGACGCUGAGACGCGAAAGCGUGGGGAGCAAACAGG